UAAAUACUCCCUCCGUCUGGAAAUACUUGUCAUCAAAAUGGAUAAAAGGAAAUGUAUCUAUAUGUGUUUUAGUUUUAGAUACAUAUCUUUUUAUCAAUUUUGAUGACAAGUAUUUUCGGACAGAGGGAGUAUUUA
rfam:Triticum aestivum genome assembly, contig: Triticum_aestivum_CS42_TGACv1_scaffold_592400_7BS